GAGCUUCUGCUACAAGCGGUCUACUUCAAAUCUCUACUACGAGCGAUCUGCACCAGAUUUUCACUGUAAGCCUUCACUCGAGCUUCCAUUGUGGAUGAAUUCCUUCUGGAUUUCUGUUGCAGGCAGGCUUCGAUCGAGAUUCCUCGACAAAUGAUCCUCAUCCAGGCUUCUACAGAGAUCGGACUCCAACCGAACUUCUGUAGCGGAUAGAUUCCGAGCGAACUCCUAUGACACGCGAAAUCCAGCAGCUGGACCCCUCCAGCGGAUG
rnacentral:lncRNA from 1 species